rnacentral:piRNA from 1 species
UCUAAGUUGCUCUUAGUGAUGUCAGGCUCU